AGUGGGGAAUAUUGCACAAUGGGGGAAACCCUGAUGCAGCAACGCCGCGUGAGUGAAGAAGUAUUUCGGUAUGUAAAGCUCUAUCAGCAGGGAAGAUAAUGACGGUACCUGACUAAGAAGCCCCGGCUAACUACGUGCCAGCAGCCGCGGUAAUACGUAGGGGGCAAGCGUUAUCCGGAUUUACUGGGUGUAAAGGGAGCGUAGACGGCUUGGUAAGUCUGAUGUGAAAGCCCAGGGCUCAACCCUGGGACUGCAUUGGAAACUACCUGGCUAGAGUGCAGGAGAGGUAAGUGGAAUUCCUAGUGUAGCGGUGAAAUGCGUAGAUAUUAGGAGGAACACCAGUGGCGAAGGCGACUUACUGGACUGUUACUGACGUUGAGGCUCGAAAGCGUGGGGAGCAAA
rnacentral:rRNA from 1 species